rnacentral:ncRNA from 1 species
UUACGGUGCCUCUGUUCAUAUUUAAUAGAAGCAGAGGGUAAAAGGGAAGCAGGUCUGAAUCCUGCACGAUCUCGUCACUGUAUUUGCGGAGCGUUAUGCCGUUACAUUUUGUGGUCACUGGGGAACCGGGAAGACUGGCAUAUCGUUAUGAUGCAUGAGUCAGGAAACCUGCCGUAUGC